rnacentral:lncRNA from 1 species
AGAGAAGACCAUGUGAAGACAAAGAGAAAGCAGCUGGCCAUCAGUAAGCCAAGGAGGGAGGCUUCAGAAGAAACUGAACCUGCCGACACCUUGACCUUGGACUUCUAGUCCCCAGAACGCCUCAGGAUGUUCCAUCUGCCCUACUUGAAUGCCUGAAGCCCUUCUUUCUCCAAUGACCCUGAGGAAAAUCUUGAAGGCGUUUCUUAGUCUGUGGAUUUUUUCUCCACAAGGGUAUAAAAUAAGAAGAUGAGGGAAAUAACCUUAACUGAAUACAUGGUGAUAUGGUUUGUCUGUGUCUCCACCCAAAUCUCAUCUGGAAUUGUAGCUCUCAUAAUUGGGAGAUAAUUGAAUCAUGGGGGCAGUUUUCCCCACACUGUUGUCUUGGUAGUGAAUAAGUCUCAUGAGAUCUGAUGAUUUUAUAAGCGGUUUCCCCUUUCACUUGGCUCUCAUUCUCUCUUGCCACCACCAUGUAAGACGUGCCUUUCACUUUCCACCAUGAUUGUGAGGCCUCCCCAGCCACGUAGAACUGUGAGUCUAUUAAACCUCUUUUUCUUUAUAAAUUACCCAGUCUCGGGUGUGUCUUUAUCAGCUGCAUGGAAACGGACUAAUACACAUGAAUAGCACGU